rnacentral:sRNA from 1 species
GUCGUGAGAUGUUGGGUUAAGUCCCGCAACGAGCGCAACCCCCGUCGCAUGUUGCCAGCAUUUAGUUGGGGACUCAUGCGAGACUGCCGGUGACAAACCGGAGGAAGGUGGGGAUGACGUCAAGUCAUCAUGCCCCUUAUGUUCAGGGCUACACACGUGCUACAUUGGCGCGUACAGAGGGCUGCGAUACCGCGAGGUGGAGCGAAUCCCUUAAAGCGCGUCUCGGUUCGGAUUGUAGGCUGAAACCCGCCUACAUGAAGGUGGAGUUGCUAGUAAUCGCGGAUCAGCAUUGCCGCGGUGAAUACGUUCCCGGGCCUUGUACACACCGCCCGUCACACCACGGGAGUGAGCAACACCCGAAGCCGGUGGCCUAACCCGCAAGGGAGGGAGCCGUCGAAGGUGGGGCUCGUGACUGGGGUGAAGUCGUAACAAGGUAGCCGUACCGGAAGGUGCGGCUGGAUCACCUCCUUUCUAGGGAGCCCCGUAACGGGGCCCGUACGGCACGGCGCCAUCGCCGGCUCGUCGCCUUCGUCUCGCCCUUCGGGGCAGGACCUCGCGGCGAGCAUGAUGCGAUGGUCACCGACCGUGCGGCCUAGUAUGUCGACCGAACCUGGCGUGAGCGAGCUGCGCAUACCGCGCCGCUUUAGCUCACUGCAUGCUGUUGAGUUUUGAGAGACUGGCCCGCGAGUCCCGCGGGGCGCCUCCCCGCGGCCCUUGAAAACUGCACAGUAGCCACAUCGCCGUCGUGACGAUAAGCACGACGGCGACGGGUAUCACCGAACCGCCGCGGAAGCGGAGGGUUCGAUCACCGUCAAGAUAAUAAGGGCACAUGGUGGAUGCCUUGGCACCUAGAGUCGAUGAAGGGCGUGAACGGCUGCGAUAAGCCACGGUGAGGCGCUGAAUAGCCUUUGACCCGUGGAUGC